CCGCGCAUGCGUCCGGGCCUUGCCGGGGCUUUCCCGGUGCGGCAUUUCCCGGGCUGGGCGAUGCUGGCGGGGGGCGAUUCUUCCCUUCCCGGUCCCGGUGCUAGGCACUCUAUAUAGGCUGCGGCGCGCACUAGGGCCGCCUGCUGUGAGAGGCUCGGCCGCAGACCGUUUUGUUCUGCCCGAAAAAAUUCAAUGAUUGAAACUAUAAAUACUUACAGUUUCUUCUUGUGAACACUCAGCAUAAAUAUGGAGGCGUAGGCACCUUAAAGGGACAUCGGUCUGAACUCUGGGAGGUAGUUCUGUGCACAAAGAA